rnacentral:rRNA from 1 species
UACGAAGGGGGCUAGCGUUGCUCGGAAUGACUGGGCGUAAAGGGCGCGUAGGCGGUUUGUACAGUCAGGUGUGAAAUUCCCGGGCUCAACCUGGGGGCUGCACUUGAUACGUAUGGACUGGAGUGGGGAAGAGGGUCGUGGAAUUCCCAGUGUAGAGGUGAAAUUCGUAGAUAUUGGGAAGAACACCGGUGGCGAAGGCGGCGACCUGGUCCUUGACUGACGCUGAGGCGCGAAAGCGUAGGGAGCAAACAGG